rnacentral:rRNA from 1 species
UUCUGGUUGAUCCUGCCGGACCUGACUGCUAUCGGAUUGAUACUAAGCCAUGCGAGUCUUUGCAGUAAUGCAAGGCAUACGGCUCAGUAACACGUAGUCAACUUACCCUAUGGACGAGGAUAAUCUCGGGAAACUGAGCAUAAUACUCGAUAGAUCAUAAUGCCUGGAAUGGUUUAUGGUUGAAAUGAUUCGUCGCCAUAGGAUGGGACUGCGGCCUAUCAGCUUGUUGGUGAGGUAAUGGCCCACCAAGGCGAUUACAGGUACGGGCUCUGAGAGGAGAAGCCCGGAGAUGGGUACUGAGACAAGGACCCAGGCCCUAUGGGGCGCAGCAGGCGAGAAAACUUUGCAAUGUGCGAAAGCACGACAAGGUUAAUCCGAGUGAUUUCUGCUAAAGAAAUCUUUUGCAAGUCAUAAAACCACUAGUGAAUAAGGGGUGGGCAAGUUCUGGUGUCAGCCGCCGCGGUAAAACCAGCACCUCAAGUGGUCAGGAGGAUUAUUGGGCCUAAAGCAUCCGUAGCCGGCUCUGUAAGUUUUCGGUUAAAUCCAUGUGCUCAACGCAUGGGCUGCCGAAAAUACUGCAUAGCUAGGGAGUGGGAGAGGUAGACGGUACUCGGUAGGAAGGGGUAAAAUCCUUUGAUCUAUCGAUGACCACCU